CUAGAAUUCCCUCCAUGGGGAAGAGCUGAGCAGGAAAAUGAGCAAGAUGAUCGUCACGAGUCAUUCUAUUUAACGCACUCUGUCUGAUUACAAUAGGUGCCAAGUCAUUUUCCCACCUGUGCUCUGCCAAAUACAUCAUUUUACUGCCCUGGCUUUUUAUUGGACUUACAUUUGCCUCCCACUUGUGCUUCUUGGUAAGAAGUGGGCAGAGCAGACUAUCAUGAGGAGUUUAGUGCUGAGUGGUUACCCGAGGAUGCAAAAAGCUUCCAUUUCACUGCCUACUUUGUCAGCAUUGGACUCACUCCCUUGAAAAGAUGGGCCUCCGGACUCUUCAUAGGAGAAACUAAAAAGGCUUUUUGACCUUCAGCUGCAUACAAGAAUCUUCUAAAGGCCAUGUGCCUGUCAUGAACAGCUAAAAUACUGGAGCUGUUUAAAAGUCUCGUAUGCAAGACAGAAAAGACAAAUCCAGGGCAACCACCACAACCAGUCUGAAUGAAGAAUCAAUCAAGAAAUGGUUCUGGAGCUCAUCACCGCAAUGAACAGAUGCUCUUUACAGUUACCCGAAGGGAGGUUAUGAUGAGAGCCUGCCAUGAAUUUUGUUUUCAGUAGUGCCUAGAGAAAAUCAAGGCAUCCUACUGAAGCCACCUGGAGCUAUGCCAAUGAGGUGAAAUCAGAGACAGACUGCAUUCAUCCUCGUGAACUCAGCCAAUCUGAAGAAGGGAUGUGGUAGGUUUCAAAGAGCUGUGUGCAGGAAUAGUGUCUUAUGUAAUCAUGUUUUUAU